rnacentral:lncRNA from 1 species
UUUUCCACAGACAAAAGGCAGGCAGAGGACAUGAGGGACAAGGAUCAUAGGGUCUUGCCCUGUUUCAGUAAGGAAACCAGUAAGAUAUGAACACUGACUCUGAGUAUUUGAGAGGCCGGGCAUUUGUAACAACGCUAAGAUAAGAUUGCUGGGUUAUAUGCAAAUCUGACAGUUAUUCAACAGGGACAGGAAUUGUUAUCUGGGGGAUCUUUUCCCAGAUGACAGAAGAAAUUGUUUCUCUAGCAGACAGAAAUACCCAAAUUAACAUGUAACUUCACUAAGUCUGGGACCUUGAAUAAACAGUAUAUGGUGAAUCAAACCACAUUUCUCUAGGUAACCCUCAGGCGGCCUUCAUCUCACAUGGCCUCGAGGAAGGCCCUGUGGCCACGAGCCUUCUUAGUACCUCAGUGAAAGCCAGCCUGGCGAUAAGCUCAUCACCCCUGUAGCGGCUCUUCUGUCAGCAGCUGAGAGGUAAACUAAUGUAAGCGUGCUAGUGUUGGUGACAGGGCCUCACUCACAUCCUCCUCCUGACUCGAUCACUAAUCCACUCCACGGUGAAAGAAGCCGCGAACCAGAGAACUCAGUGAGAAAGGAUUUCCUUGGAGACACAGGCACUGACUGAAGCCCUGGCCUGCUGAACCCAUGCCAACUCACAGGGUUCAUCUACAGGGCCAGGGAUAAUGCUGCCCU